GGCCAGACUCCUACGGGAGGCAGCAGUGGGGAAUAUUGCACAAUGGGGGAAACCCUGAUGCAGCGACGCCGCGUGAGUGAAGAAGUAUUUCGGUAUGUAAAGCUCUAUCAGCAGGGAAGAAAAUGACGGUACCUGACUAAGAAGCCCCGGCUAACUACGUGCCAGCAGCCGCGGUAAUACGUAGGGGGCAAGCGUUAUCCGGAUUUACUGGGUGUAAAGGGAGCGUAGACGGCAGGGCAAGUCUGGAGUGAAAGGCAGGGGCCCAACCCCUGGACUGCUCUGGAAACUGUCCGGCUGGAGUGCAGGAGAGGUAAGUGGAAUUCCUAGUGUAGCGGUGAAAUGCGUAGAUAUUAGGAGGAACACCAGUGGCGAAGGCGGCUCACUGGACUGUAACUGACGUUGAGGCUCGAAAGCGUGGGGAGCAAACAGGAUUAGAUACCCCAGUA
rnacentral:rRNA from 1 species